GGGUUCAUGGCCUAAUGGUAAGGCGUCAGAUUUCGGUUCCGUCUUCUAGGUUCUCCGCUCUCUGAAGAUUGCAGGUUCGAUCCCUGCUGAGCUCG